rnacentral:rRNA from 1 species
CCUACGGGAGGCAGCAGUGGGGAAUAUUGCGCAAUGGGCGAAAGCCUGACGCAGCGACGCCGCGUGGGGGAUGAAGCUUCUCGGAGUGUAAACCCCUUUCGACCCGGACGAACGGCCCGCAAGGGCGUGACGGUACGGGUAUAAGAAGCCCCGGCUAACUACGUGCCAGCAGCCGCGGUAAUACGUAGGGGGCCAGCGUUGCUCGGAAUUACUGGGCGUAAAGGGUUCGUAGGCGGUGCGGCAAGUCGGGAGUGAAAUCUCUGGGCUUAACUCAGAGGCUGCUUUCGAAACUGCCGUGCUCGAGUGCGGGAGAGGCCAGUGGAAUUGCAGGUGUAGCGGUGAAAUGCGUAGAUAUCUGCAGGAACACCCGUGGCGAAGGCGGCUGGCUGGACCGCAACUGACGCUGAGGAACGAAAGCUAGGGGAGCAAACAGGAUUAGAUACCCUGGUAGUCCUAGCCCUAAACCAUCAGGACUUGGGGUGGCUCGCGUAGGCGGGUCGUCCCGUAGCUAACGCGUUAAGUCCUGCGCCUGGGGAGUACGGUCGCAAGACUGAAACUCAAAGGAAUUGACGG